rnacentral:rRNA from 1 species
CAGCAGCCACGGUAAUACGUAGGUGGCAAGCGUUGUCCGGAAUUAUUGGGCGUAAAGGGCUCGCAGGCGGUUUCUUAAGUCUGAUGUGAAAGCCCCCGGCUCAACCGGGGAGGGUCAUUGGAAACUGGGAAACUUGAGUGCAGAAGAGGAGAGUGGAAUUCCACGUGUAGCGGUGAAAUGCGUAGAGAUGUGGAGGAACACCAGUGGCGAAGGCGACUCUCUGGUCUGUGACUGACGCUGAGGAGCGGAAGCGUGGGGAGCGAACAGGAUUAGAUACCCCUGUAGUCCCUGUCUCUUAUAC